UACGAGGGACGAAAUUUGCUU
ensembl:piRNA 21ur-151 ncRNA